ensembl:lncRNA
AGAGUCAGUAAGUCUAGCCCACACUCAAAGGGAGGGAAAUUAAAUUCCACAUCUAUAAUAUAUAUUACCUGCUUUAGAUUCCAAAACCUAGGAGGGAGCCAAGACCAGGGGGAAAGAUGGUGUCCUGACCAAUGGGCCCAGAGCAAGAGGAGUUUGGUCUUGUUGUUGUGCAAGGCAGAUUCUUUACCAUCUGAGCCACCAGGGAAGCCUUGCCCUAAUUACAAUAUUGGGAGAAUGUAUAGUGUGGUAGAGAGAGCAGAAAACCAGAAUCAGAUAGUCUUGGGUCAAACCC